UAUUAGGUUGGUGCAAAAGUAAUUGCGGUUUUUGCCAUUUAAAAGUAAUGGCAGAAACCACAAUUACUUUUGUACCAACAUAAAUAUUUUUCU
rnacentral:miRNA from 1 species